GCAUGCUUCAACAGGAGAGCCUUCUGCACAGAGCCACAGGCUUACCAAUGUAAUUACCAUGUCAUUGCCGACUGAUUACCAAUCGCUGCUCAAAAAAGGAUUUUACAAAGAAGGACCUGGCAUCUUCUAGCAGUAUUUCACAUUUCCUGGGAAGGCAGGAUGGCUCAGAACUGGGAAUAAAAUAAAGAAUACUCACCGCCAACCGAAACUCAAG